GACGAACGCUGGCGGCGUGCUUAACACAUGCAAGUCGAACGGAAAGGCCCUGCUUUUGUGGGGUGCUCGAGUGGCGAACGGGUGAGUAACACGUGAGUAACCUGCCCUUGACUUUGGGGUAACUUCAGGAAACUGGGGCUAAUACCGGAUAGGAGCUCCUGCUGCAUGGUGGGGGUUGGAAAGUUUCGGCGGUUGGGGAUGGACUCGCGGCUUAUCAGCUUGUUGGUGGGGUAGUGGCUUACCAAGGCUUUGACGGGUAGCCGGCCUGAGAGGGUGACCGGCCACAUUGGGACUGAGAUACGGCCCAGGCUCCUACGGGAGGCAGCAGUGGGGAAUAUUGCACAAUGGGCGGAAGCCUGAUGCAGCAACGCCGCGUGCGGGAUGACGGCCUUCGGGUUGUAAACCGCUUUCGCCUGUGACGAAGCGUGAGUGACGGUAAUGGGUAAAGAAGCACCGGCUAACUACGUG
rnacentral:rRNA from 1 species